rnacentral:rRNA from 1 species
GGAGACUAGGGGCCAGGAGGCGGUGGAAAAGAGCGGGUAGUGGCGUUAAGCGGGGUUACUGGGCGGAAAGCGUGCGUAGGCGGCUGAUUAAGUCGGAUGGGAAAUCCCUGAGCGUAACUUAGGAAUUGCAUUCGAUACUGGUCAGCUAGAGUAUGGGAGAGGAUGGUAGAAUUCCAGGUGUAGCGGUGAAAUGCGUAGAGAUCUGGAGGAAUACCGAUGGCGAAGGCAGCCAUCUGGCCUAAUACUGACGCUGAGGUACGAAAGCAUGGGGAGCAAACAGGAUUAGAUACCCCUGUAGUC